UGGGGAAUAUUGCACAAUGGGCGCAAGCCUGAUGCAGCCAUGCCGCGUGUAUGAAGAAGGCCUUCGGGUUGUAAAGUACUUUCAGCGGGGAGGAAGGGAGUAAAGUUAAUACCUGUGCUCAUUGACGAUACCCGCAGAAGAAGCACCGGCUAACUCCGUGCCAGCAGCCGCGGUAAUACGGAGGGUGCAAGCGUUAAUCGGAAUUACUGGGCGUAAAGCGCACGCAGGCGGUUGAUUGAGUCAGAUGUGAAAUCCCCGGGCUUAACCCGGGAAUUGCAUCUGAUACUGGUCAGCUAGAGGUUUGGAGAGGGGGGUGGAAUUCCAUGUGUAGAGGUGAAAUGCGUAGAGAUGUGGAGGAAUACCGGUGGCGAAGGCGGCCCCCUGGACAAAGACUGACGCUCAGGUGCGAAAGCGUGGGGAGCAAACAGG
rnacentral:rRNA from 1 species